rnacentral:lncRNA from 1 species
GAAGCUUUGAAUUAUGUAUUUAUGUAUAAAAUUAUUUUUAUUUUUUUCCAGACCAGUAGGUGGCGGACAUGCACCUUUAACGUUGGUUUGCCAAUCUCGAGAAAAGAAGAAGAAGAAGAAGAACUAGCAGCGCGCCGGAAAACUACAAUUCCCACAAUCCGCUAUUCACAGGAAGUAAUGUAUUCGUAGGCUUUUCGUCUUGUAAUCUUCAUAUUUUGUAGUCCCUGUUCGGCAAGAAAGUAAAAGCAGGUAAGUUAUAUAAAAGCGCCUUGAACUGUUUUGUCUGAGAAUGGUUAGUAAACUGAUGCGGUUAUAUCAUUGAUGAGACUGUGGAGUCUGAGUGAAUGCGGAAGUGUUCUGUUUGUUUUCUUUUGCUUGUCGCAUAACUUGUUUCCAUUGUGAUGUGCAGAAGUGCAAGAGCAAUGUUGUAACCUUCAAGUUGCUCGUUUUAUAUUUAGUUUAAUUUAUAUUUCCCCUCUGCAUCAGCCCGCUAUGGAGAGAUGCAGGUUGGACGUGUCUGCACAUGUGUUGUUAUGAUUCAGGUACGAAGGAUGUGCAAAAUCACCAAAGUCACCAAGUCAAAACCAUGAAUAAAACAGCAAAGUCUACUUGUGAUUCUGACCGACAGAGUAAAAAAGUCAAAACGAGUCAUGGACCGACACAGGGCACUCAAGGUAAGAAAGCAGAUGUGAAGGGCUGGGCAGCUGGAAAAGAUGCUUGUUCUCCUGGACCUGAGAGAAGCUCUGAGUCUUCCCACACUAUGCAAAAACGUGCUCCGAAGGAGGCCAGAUCUACUCAUAGUGACAGUCACUCAUCCCAGCAGCAUCUGAUGAAGACGCCGUCUGCUGAAGAUGAAAAGGGUGAUGUGGACCUGUACAGAGGUGAAGAGGAAAUUCAAAAAGAGCUGCAAGACAAGCAGCAGUCAGAGUCAGGUAGCGCUCAGUUUUUGAAGAAUGUUGAGUGUGUAUUGAAAUGUUGUAAGAGAUUUCUGUGA